GGGGGCGUAAUGGUUUCGACGGGAUUGUAAAGGUUAGGCUAAGCAUAUCACAGGCUCGUCUGUGUAAAAACGGAAACUUAAAAUUUAAAUGCAGAAAACAAUACUGUAUUAGCCGCUGCUUAAUUUAGUCAUGUGGCUUGUCCUUUUAGAUAGUCCUACGGAUCUAUAUAGGGCAUUAGUUAGUAGGGUACGGACUUUGACUUUCGCCUAGAAGUUUAAGUCUGAAACUAUAGGCUGGUUCAACUUAUAUUUGUUAAUUUUUUUAGGUUGAAUAAGAUAUUCAAAUUAACUAAAUAUGUAGAAAGGUUUAAAAUUUCUUUUUCGGACGCGGGUUCGACUCCCGCCGCUUCCACCA
rnacentral:tmRNA from 3 species